rfam:Brachypodium distachyon strain Bd21 chromosome 1, whole genome shotgun sequence.
AUACUACUCACUCCGUCCAACAAAGGAUGUCUCAAGUUUGUCUAAUUUGGAUGCAUCUGUACACUAAGUCAUGUCUACAUACAUCCAAAUUUUGACAAACUUGAGACAUCUUUUGUUGGACGGAGGGAGUAGUAU